ACGUGAGGGGAUUUUCAUGACGACAGCUAAAAUCACAUCCAUGAUGCUAACAUGACCCUCUCACCUAAUUUCUGAUCACUGUGGCAGACCGCAGCAAUGAUAAAUCUCUUUGGCCAGAGGUUAGUAAGAAACAUUACAGCCCAGGAAAAAUAGCUUUUAACUGUGGUCUCCGAAACAGCUGAUCUGUUUCAGCUUAACUUUUCCCACAAAAACUGAACAGAAGUAGACACAGGCAUGGAAAUAUAUAAUCCAGAUGACUGAACUUCAGCAACAGUAUAGGCGGCGCAGAACAGGGACAUGCAAUAUAAUAUGAAUAUGGGGCAAUGUUUUCAUAAGCUUCACUGUUAACAACAUCUUUAAAUUCACAGUCAACCAGACUGCAGCCAGCCACAGGUGAUGUUCAUGCCAUCUCUCUCACUCCACAAUGAGCAGCGUUGCACUCAUCAGUAUGGCAUUUAGACUUUUUGCUCUACUAGAGAAUUACAACAGGACUAGUUUCUCUCCUGGGCCCACGAGGAUCCCUGCAUUGCCGUUCACACUAACCUUCAACCAUUACCUCUGCUUAGCAAAGGGGCAAACAGAGGGAAUGGAGGAGGCUGGACGAGGGAGUAGGGAGGGCAGAUGGAGAAAAGGCAUUUGCCACUCCUCUGGCCUUCAACAGCUUGCACUAACACAGUUCAUCACUGUGCAAUGCUGUGUUGUCUACAGAGAAAAGACUUAGUGCAUCACUUUCAAAGAUGGAGGAGGAGAAGACAGCUAUGUCUUCUUUUCUUAGUUUAUCCCAUUGAAAAUAUUUUCAUGCUUAAAAAAAAAAAAAAAUCGGGAAGAGGCUUAACUGCAAGUCUGUCUCUGGCAAAGUUAUUAGGAUUCACCUUUGAGAUGCAGAUGAAACACUUGCAAUGCAGCCUGAAAGAAGGACAGCCUUAGCAAAACAUGAUAUGCUCAGCACAAAACAAGAUUCUGGAGUUGGACUAAAAUGUCACACCUUGCAGCCACAAGUCAUGAGAAAAGGAAAAGAUGGAAAAAAUAUCUCACAUUUGGUGAAAAAUAAAUAAAUAAAUAAAUAAGUGUAGGUACAAGAAAAUAAGUUAUGAAAUAGUAAAAUAUUCCUUCUUAUGAAAAAAAAAAAAAAAAAAAAAAAAAAAAUGUUCAGGAAGCCCUCGUAUCUGCAUGAAUCAUUUUAUACAUUGAUUCCUAAAAUAUGCCAUGGAGUGCCUUUCAUCUCAGAGGAUCCUAAAAUGCUCUUCAAGCUGUAAGUAUUGAGGAAUGACUUCACUCCAGGCUGGAGAGCCACCUGCUCUGGGCUGUAAUUCAGCAGCAAUGCACAGCAGAAAUAGACAGAGUUGGGCAGAGGCUCUUAUUAGAUAUAAAUCUUCAGAGCAGAACCCAACCGCUACCUGCCUGGUAUUAGAAAGAAACAUUUUCAAUGAUCAGUUUAUUCCAUAAUUACCUUAUUUUUUAUUUUUUUUAUUUUUUGUAUUUUGCUCUGAUAAUUCUGGCACUGCUAUCAGCAGAAAACGAAGGUCCAACUCUUUGCAGGUGUAAGUCAGAGCAGCUCCUAUGGAGCCAGUUGAGCUGCACGUGUUAACAUCAAAUGAGAAUGUACUCCAAUUACUGAAUUACUGAGCCAUUAGCAAGUUCUCCGUUCCUGUGAGUGAACAUUUUACCCAGCUGAUAUUUCAGGGGCCCUGAGAGAGUCAGAAUGGAUUUACUCAAUUAGAAUUUGGACAACAUGUCACACUUAAUGAACCUAUUUUAGGCAAAGUGCCAAGACGCAAUCUUUAUUGACCACAGGUGGCCAUGGCCUCGGCCUUGCAGCUCAUCCAAACAUCGAGUGCUUCUGUGUUCCAGCUAACAUCCUUUCCUCAAAGACGAUCAAGGACAGAGCACAAUUUCGUGAACCACUAUAACCACUUCCUGCAGCUCUUCAUUCUUACUCGCACUUCUCCCACCCAAUGACUAGUCUAAACCCAUACUGCUUACUGAAGCUUGCUGGAUAUACCGUGUUAAAAACAGAACAAAAUAUGUAGUUUUAGAUUUCAUUUCACACCAGAUCUAGGUCAAGUCUGACGAGAUGGUUUGAGCUUACAGAUGCAACAGCUCACUGACACCAUGAAGGGGGUAGUCCUGCUCCACUCACUAGGUUAGGGUGCUACUUUGUAAAAUAAAUAAAUAAAUUCUUAGUGUAGAUCCCAAAACUGGCUUACUAUGGGGUUAGAGUGCUAGUGCUUUGCUCAGCACAGAAGCUGAAAAGAGACAAGGACUUCUGAGCAUUCUUUUGCCCCUGCGCAUCAAUAACAGGUCAUGAAUUGCUCCCCCAACAGAUCAUUCUUAUUGCACAUCACUUCCAGUUUGUGAAGCAAGGCAGCCUACAAACUGCCAGGUAGUUCCGUUUCUGGAAAAAAAAAAAAAAAAAGUCACAAGCUGAACACCUCCAGUGUCACAGCAGUUGUACAAAGGAAAAACUUUGUGCAAGUCCCAAGGGGAGAGUCAAGUUGUGCUAGCCAUCAGGUUAUGCAGCUACCACCUCUUCCCUGGUGUUUCCACUCCUUUCCCCAGAACUAAAAAUGAAAUGCUGGCAUUUGCAGUAAUGUGACUUGCGGCUUCCUUCCCCACUCAAGGCAUUGCUCCUGCCUGUGCACUACACCCCCUGCCCUCCACAGUGUGCUGAUGUGUGGCUGCACUUCAACUAGGUCACCCAAAAAAUCUGGGUUAAAAAUUCCCCCCACAUAUCAAGAAGAGCUAUUUUUUAACUCAGAUCAUAGCAGGGUUUUUUUCUUUUUUUCUUUUAAAU